rnacentral:rRNA from 1 species
GGCGGAUUAAUACCGCAUAAAGUGGCAUCACUAAAGAUUUAUUGGAUUCGGAUGGGGCUGCGUGCCAUUAGCUAGUUGGCGGGGUAACGGCCCACCAAGGCGACGAUGGCUAGGGGAGCUGAGAGGCUGGUCCCCCACACGGGCACUGAGAUACGGGCCCGACUCCUACGGGAGGCAGCAGUAGGGAAUAUUGGGCAAUGGGCGAGAGCCUGACCCAGCCAUGCCGCGUGCAGGAUGAAGGCUUCUGAGUCGUAAACUGCUUUUGCCAGGGAAGAAAAAAGGGAUGCGUCCUUCACUGACGGUACCUGGUGAAUAAGCACCGGCUAACUCCGUGCCAGCAGCCGCGGUAAUACGGAGGGUG